UCUCUCUCUCUCCUCCUUCGUGAGGGAGAACUUGAGAAAUGCAAAAAAAGAGUUUGCCAAAACUGAAGAUGAUCUAAAUCCCGGCACAAUGUUGGACAAAUUAUAGGAGAAGUUCUCCAGCCACUCGAGAAUGAAUGUUGUUGAUCUAGUUGUUUAUAACAUUCUCCAUGAAGAUCUUGGCAAUGUUAGCUACUCUACUGUGGGUGGCUUGUCUGAUAAGAUUCAAGAAGACGAAGCACUGCAUCCAUCGACGAGAGUGGUUGGAGGAAGUAU